rnacentral:rRNA from 1 species
UACAGAGGUCUCAAGCGUUGUUCGGAUUCAUUGGGCGUAAAGGGUGCGUAGGCGGCGCGGUAAGUCGGGUGUGAAAUCUCGGAGCUUAACUCCGAAACUGCAUUCGAUACUGCCGUGCUUGAGGACUGGAGAGGAGACUGGAAUUUACGGUGUAGCGGUGAAAUGCGUAGAUAUCAGGAGGAACACCGGUGGCGAAGGCGGUUCUCUGGGCAUUACCUGACGCUGAGGAGCGAAAGUGUGGGGAGCGAACAGG